rnacentral:rRNA from 1 species
AGCAGCCGCGGUAAUUCCAGCUCCAAUAGCGUAUAUUAAAGUUGCUGCAGUUAAAAAAGCUCGUAGUUGAAUUUCGGGACCGAUAUAUCGGUCGUGCCUCGGUACGUACUGGNAUUUUUCGGUUUCUCCCUUCUGAUGAACCUUGAUGUCAUUAAUUUGGUGUCUUGGGGAAUCAGGACUGUCACUUUGAAAAAAUUUAGAGUGUUUAAAGCAGGCUCACGCUUGAAUACAUUAGCAUGGAAUAAUGAAAUAGGACGUUUGAUUCUAUUUUGUUGGUUUCUAGGAUCGACGUAAUGAUUAAUAGGGAUAGUUGGGGGCAUUAGUAUUCAAUUGUCAGAGGUGAAAGUUCUUGGAUUUAUUGAAGACUAACUACUGCGAAAGCAUUUGCCAAGGAUGUUUUCAUUAAUCAAGAACGAAAGUUAGGGGAUCGAAGACGAUCAGAUACCGUCGUAGUCUUAACCAUAAAAGCUAUGCCGACUAGGGGA